AUUGAACGCUGGCGGCAUGCCUUACACAUGCAAGUCGAACGGCAGCACGGGGGCAACCCUGGUGGCGAGUGGCGAACGGGUGAGUAACAUAUCGGAACAUACCCUAGAGUGGGGGAUAACGUAGCGAAAGUUACGCUAAUACCGCAUACGAUCUAAGGAUGAAAGUGGGGGAUCUUCGGACCUCAUGCUCAUGGAGUGGCCGAUAUCUGAUUAGCUAGUUGGUGAGGUAAAGGCUCACCAAGGCGACGAUCAGUAGCUGGUUUGAGAGAACGACCAGCCACACUGGAACUGAGACACGGUCCAGACUCCUACGGGAGGCAGCAGUGGGGAAUUUUGGACAAUGGGGGCAACCCCUGAUCCAGCAAUGCCGCGUGAGUGAAGAGGCCUUCGGUUGUAAGUACGUCUUUUGUUCUAGGGAAGAAAC
rnacentral:rRNA from 1 species